AUCACUUCUCGAUCUUUUGGCUAAGAUCAAGUGUAGUACCUGUUCUUAUCAGUUUAAUGUCUAUACAUCCUCUAUCCAAGGACAAUAUAUUAAAUGGAUUUUUGGAGCAGGGAGAUGGAAUAGGAGCUUGCUCUGUCCACUCUGUACAUCGACCUGGUAUUGCAGUACCUCCAGGAAUGGUGCACCAGAA
rnacentral:snRNA from 1 species